rnacentral:lncRNA from 1 species
CCAGGAAAAUAGAGGAAAGUUAGAAGCAGGGAAGAAACUGAAACAAACAAACGACUCAAAAAUAUUAAGAGUAUUGUUAUUUUCCUUUUUUUUAGACUCUGAAAUUCUUGCCCGUGAAGGUUUGUCCAAACUGCCAAUUAGGUGGUGCCACGUUCCAAGAGGUUGAGGUGCGACGGUCACUGCCGGUAAUCCUAAAAGAGAGGGUCUGGCCCACCAAAACUGCAUUGGAUUGCCAAUUUUGCCCCCAGUUACGGCUCAUGCUCAGCCACGCGGUUUUGCUUCCUUUAACACUCACGCGCACGAUAUCCCCUGCACC